UACGUAGGGUGCGAGCGUUAAUCGGAAUUACUGGGCGUAAAGCGUGCGCAGGCGGUUGUGCAAGACAGAUGUGAAAUCCCCGGGCUUAACCUGGGAAUUGCAUUUGUGACUGCACGGCUAGAGUGUGUCAGAGGGGGGUAGAAUUCCACGUGUAGCAGUGAAAUGCGUAGAUAUGUGGAGGAAUACCGAUGGCGAAGGCAGCCCCCCUGGGGAUAACACUGACGCUCAUGGCACGAAAGCGUGGGGAGCAAACAGG
rnacentral:rRNA from 1 species